rnacentral:rRNA from 1 species
GACGAACGCUGGCGGCGUGCCUAAUACAUGCAAGUAGAACGCUGAAGAGAGGAGCUUGCUCUUCUUGGAUGAGUUGCGAACGGGUGAGUAACGCGUAGGUAACCUGCCUUGUAGCGGGGGAUAACUAUUGGAAACGAUAGCUAAUACCGCAUAACAAUGGAUGACACAUGUCAUUUAUUUGAAAGGGGCAAUUGCUCCACUACAAGAUGGACCUGCGUUGUAUUAGCUAGUAGGUGAGGUAAUGGCUCACCUAGGCGACGAUACAUAGCCGACCUGAGAGGGUGAUCGGCCACACUGGGACUGAGACACGGCUCAGACUCCUACGGGAGGCAGCAGUAGGGAAUCUUCGGCAAUGGGGGCAACCCUUAACGAGCAACGCCGCGUGAGUGAAGAAGGGUGUCGGAUCGUAAAGCUCGGUUGUAAGUCAAGAACGGGUGUGAGAGUGGAAAGUUCACACUGUGACGGUAGCUUAACAGAAAGGGACGGCUAACUACGUG